GCUGGCGGCGUGCUUACACAUGCAAGUCGAACGGAAAGGCCCCUUCGGGGGUGCUCGAGUGGCGAACGGGUGAGUAACACGUGGGUGAUCUGCCCUGCACUUUGGGAUAAGCCUGGGAAACUGGGUCUAAUACCGAAUACACCCUGCUGGUCGCAUGGCCUGGUGGGGGAAAGCUUUUGCGGUGUGGGAUGGGCCCGCGGCCUAUCAGCUUGUUGGUGGGGUGAUGGCCUACCAAGGCGACGACGGGUAGCCGGCCUGAGAGGGUGUCCGGCCACACUGGGACUGAGAUACGGCCCAGACUCCUACGGGAGGCAGCAGUGGGGAAUAUUGCACAAUGGGCGCAAGCCUGAUGCAGCGACGCCGCGUGGGGGAUGACGGCCUUCGGGUUGUAAACCCCUUUCAGUAUCGACGAAGCCGUGAGGUGACGGUAGGUACAGAAGAAGCACCGGCCAACUACGUGCCAACAA
rnacentral:rRNA from 1 species